CCAGAAACCACAGGAGGAAAAAACAGGGAAGCUUGGGGAUCAGAUUGUGCCCUAGAUGACCCAGGCAAAUUAAAAGGUGAUUGCAUAGUGCAAUUUAAAUAAUGGAAAAAAGUAUUUAAAUAGUAUUUAAAUAGAUAGCAUUGGGUUAGGCAAUUUAAGGUUGGGGAAGGAUCCCCGUAGAGUAAAGGAAUAGUGUAAAAACCUUUAA